UUUUUUUAUGUGGCAUGCUUAGCACCUGUCCACGGUGGAGCAUUGGGAAAGGUCUGAUGUGUGUUUCAACGACUAUUUAACGCAAAGCGUGCCGAAUAGUAAUGCUCUCUUUUUCUUUUUCUUUUCUUGUUUUGAAGCAGGAAAUGCUCUCUUAUGGUGUAUAGAUAUUGAUAUAGGUAUGAUAAACCGAAGAAAAAUUUAUAUAAGGGAAUAACUUUUUCACUUUGUAUUUUGACCAUCCACUUAUAUCAUUCCAAUAUACUCCCUCUGUAAACUAUUAUAAGAGCGUUUAGAUUAAUAAAACAGUGAUCUAAACACUCUUAUAUUAGUUUACGGAGGGAGUAUUUCAUACUGUUAUGUGAUCGAUACACAUUUUCUUUGCCAUCCUUUAAUCAUCAAACAAAUUUGUUUGCUCUGAACCACUGAUCGACCAACGGGCUCAGUGAAGUGAAGUGAAGUGUUUGCACGUGAGAGAUGGAAAGCGGAUUCCUGUCCGACACAUCGUCACCCGCUGAUCACUUCAUCAGUUUGAGACUUAGUCAAGACAAUGAUUGCCGGAGACUGACCUUUCACCUUCCAGAUUGAUCAACCAUCAUCUGCAUCUGAAUACUUCAUGAAGAAAUCAUAUGGAGAAACAGAAGAAUUCGGUUUGCUAAUCAAUAUGGCUCAGUGAAGUGAAUUCCUGUCCGACACAUCGUCACCGGCUCAUCACUCAUCAGUUUGAGACUAUAGUCAAGACAAUGAUUGCCGGAGACUGACCUUUCACCUUCCAGAUUGAUCAACCAUCAUCUGCAUCUGAAUACUUCAUGAAGAAAUCAUAUGGAGAAACAUAAGAAUUCGGUUGGCUAAUCAAUAUGUCUGUGACGGUAUGAUGCUUUCCCUGUUCACCAGUAUCACUAGCGAAAGGGACCAAUUACCCACUGAUAAACACCAUGUACCGGACGGCAAUGACAUCAAGAAAAAUCAUUCGCCUUCCCGCGCGUGUGAUUUGUCGCUAUCAUGCUUUUCAUACUACAAUGACAUGCAACAAUUAUUUCAUCAAGGAACUAUGAGAUUCUAGUGUUUCCGUGCGAUAAAACCAGAUUGCUGCCCCAGAUUCUUGCUAAUAUGUAUAUAGCCAAACAGAGAUCAGAAUUGGCCCUAAGCUCAAAACUCAGCAGACAAUACAAGUCGGCAAAAUGUUCUUCACUGAACAUUCUUUUAUUGGCAUUCUUCAGCCUAAGUUAAAGAACUAAUGCAUCAACUGCCUGACAUAGGUGACAUGCACAUUAACCAGCGAUACUACAACGCGGGGUAUGUUAAAAGGUUCAAAUCGGCAACGACAGUACCACUCUCUGCAGUCUGCACUGCCUUCAUAGAGACUAUGAACACAGGACGGCGGCUCUUUUUACAGGUUCACGGCAAAACAGAACGCUUCUCCUUGCUUUAC
rnacentral:lncRNA from 1 species